rnacentral:rRNA from 1 species
AAUACAUGCAAGUCGAACGGCUUGCUGGAGUGGCGCACGGGUGCGUAACGCGUAUGCAACCUACCUUAAUCAGGGGGAUAGCCCGAAGAAAUUCGGAUUAACACCGCAUAAAAACACAGAGUAGCAUUACUCAAUGUUCAAAUAUUUAUAGGAUUAAGAUGGGCAUGCGUGUCAUUAGCUAGUUGGCGGGGUAACGGCCCACCAAGGCGACGAUGACUAGGGGAUCUGAGAGGAUGACCCCCCACACUGGUACUGAGACACGGACCAGACUCCUACGGGAGGCAGCAGUAAGGAAUAUUGGUCAAUGGAGGCAACUCUGAACCAGCCAUGCCGCGUGCAGGAAGACAGCCCUAUGGGUCGUAAACUGCUUUUAUCCGGGAAUAAACCUUUCUACGUGUAGAAAGCUGAAUGUACCGGAAGAAUAAG